GGUGCGUAACGCGUGGGAAUCUGCCCUUGGGUUCGGAAUAACAGUUAGAAAUGACUGCUAAUACCGGAUGAUGACGAAAGUCCAAAGAUUUAUCGCCCAGGGAUGAGCCCGCGUAGGAUUAGGUAGUUGGUGGGGUAAAGGCCUACCAAGCCGACGAUCCUUAGCUGGUCUGAGAGGAUGAUCAGCCACACUGGGACUGAGACACGGCCCAGACUCCUACGGGAGGCAGCAGUGGGGAAUAUUGGACAAUGGGCGAAAGCCUGAUCCAGCAAUGCCGCGUGAGUGAUGAAGGCCUUAGGGUCGUAAAGCUCUUUUACCAGGGAUGAUAAUGACAGUACCUGGAGAAUAAGCUCCGGCUAACUCCGUGCCAGCAGCCGCGGUAAUACGGAGGGAGCUAGCGUUGUUCGGAAUUACUGGGCGUAAAGCGCACGUAGGCGGUUAUUCAAGUCAGAGGUGAAGCCCGGGGCUCAACCCCGGAACUGCCUUUGAAACUAGAUGACUGGAAUCUUGGAGAGGUCAGUGGAUUCCGAGUGUAGAGGUGAAUUCGUAGAUACUCGGAAGAACACCAGUGGCGAAGGCGACUGACUGGACA
rnacentral:rRNA from 1 species